UCUCGGCCUGUCAAUCAUGACAGAGUGUUAGCAAAGCUUGUCCACGGCACGUGAACUUCAUUUUGGGGGUUGGCCACGUUUCAUCGCUGUGGCUGUGACACUUUGGUCGGCUAAUAAUGUCUUGUUCAGCGUUGGUUUGCACGGCAAGACACUCAAAGGAAUUGGCAGUUCAGUUUUUCCGACUUCCUUUUGAUGAUGCCAGGCUGAAGCAAUGGUUGGUGAACAUGAGGAGAGAGAGACCAGCAAAUGGAACCAUGAAAAGUCACGUCUGCAGUUCACACUUUGAGGAAGAUCAGUUUUUUAGAGACAAGCAGGUAUCCGCACUGAAAACUGAAUGAGCAGAGCCUCCAGAAGGAAGACCUGGUGUAUAGAGCGGCGUAUUUGGUGCCAUUUCAUCUGGAUGUGGAAACCAGACACCGUUGACCACAUCCAAAGUUCUCAAAUGUGUUCUGAUUGUAAAAAUGCCAGAAAAUCAUUUUUGGUUCAGCUUCUUCUGCUGGAAGGAUGGACCAACUUUUGGCACUUGGUAGUUAGAGGUUCAAUUUCUUGUGGUUGACUUAGUUUCUGCUGUAGUUUGA